rnacentral:rRNA from 1 species
UACAGAGGUCUCAAGCGUUGUUCGGAUUCAUUGGGCGUAAAGGGUGCGUAGGUGGCGCGCUAAGUCGGGUGUGAAAUCUCGGAGCUUAACUCCGAAAUUGCAUUCGAUACUGGCGUGCUCGAGGACUGAAGAGGAGACUGGAAUUUACGGUGUAGCAGUGAAAUGCGUAGAUAUCGUAAGGAAGACCAGUGGCGAAGGCGGGUCUCUGGGCAGUUCCUGACACUGAGGCACGAAGGCCAGGGGAGCAAACGGG